UGUUAGCGCUAAGUCAGCCAUGGAUAGAGUCAAGAAGAGUAAUUUUAAAUGUUCAAAGAGCAUUUCAAGAAAUGGUACAAGAUCCCGAACAAGUGCCAAUUGAAAAUGUGCACCUUAAUGAAGAAGUGGUUAAUAUUUCAUUAACUGAAGGUCAUGAAGAACUUUUCCCUCCACUGUGUACUGAAGCUGAAUAAUAAUUCUAUAAUUUGACCGUCACUAGCAACAGAAGAGUCUUGAUCAGAUAACGGCUCCAGAAUUUCUAUUUCAAAUAUACUGUGUCAUCCAUGA